rnacentral:rRNA from 1 species
UUAGAGAGUUUUGACCSUGGCUCAGGACGAACGCUGGCGGCGUGCAUAAYACAUGCAAGUCGAGCGGAUCUUUGGGAGCUUGCUCCCAAAGGUUAGCGGCGGACGGGUGAGUAACACGUGGGCAACCUGCCUAUGAGACUGGGAUAACUCCGGGAAACCGGGGCUAAUACCGGAUAAUUCUUUUCUACACAUGUAGAAAAGCUGAAAGAUGGUUUCGGCUAUCACUCAUAGAUGGGCCCGCGGCGCAUUAGCUAGUUGGUGAGGUAACGGCUCACCAAGGCGACGAUGCGUAGCCGACCUGAGAGGGUGAUCGGCCACACUGGGACUGAGACACGGCCCAGACUCCUACGGGAGGCAGCAGUAGGGAAUCUUCCGCAAUGGACGAAAGUCUGACGGAGCAACGCCGCGUGAGUGAUGAAGGUUUUCGGAUCGUAAAACUCUGUUGUUAGGGAAGAACAAGUACCGGAGUAACUGCCGGUACCUGACGUACCUACCAGAAGKACU